rnacentral:rRNA from 1 species
UACGAAGGGGGCUAGCGUUGUUCGGAAUUACUGGGCGUAAAGCGCACGUAGGCGGGUUGUUAAGUCAGGGGUGAAAUCCUGGAGCUCAACUCCAGAACUGCCUUUGAUACUGGCAACCUAGAGACUGGAAGAGGUUAGUGGAAUUCCCAGUGUAGAGGUGAAAUUCGUAGAUAUUGGGAAGAACACCAGUGGCGAAGGCGGCUAACUGGUCCAGCACUGACGCUGAGGUGCGAAAGCGUGGGGAGCAAAC